rnacentral:lncRNA from 12 species
CCUGGCUAAGAGCUCAGAGUGCAAUAGGAAAGUCCUCUGAGAGCUGGGAAGGGGCUGAAUACAGCGGUGGGUAAAACUGGAAAUACCCUGUGUUUCUCAGUACCCUCUGCUGGCCAAAAGGAGCACAGACAGGGAAGCCAAAACCCCAACCUCCAGCAAGAAAAAAGAUGCUGGAAAACCAUCGGUGACCUUCAGCAGGGAUGGCCUCAUCUGUCACAGGGGAGAAAGCUCACAGGCACACUCAUCCCGAAGGAGAAAAAUCAAUACAAAGCAAUGCAAUGCAUCUCCCACAGCUUAAGCAGAUUUUUGCUAUGCAGGAAGUGACACAGGAGCUCUCAG